rnacentral:lncRNA from 1 species
ACCACCCUAAAAAUAAUCUGCUCCGGCGCACUGCGUGCUUCGGCUAGGGGAGGAAAGCUCUGUCAUCCGAAUGAGAGUUCUGUGUCCUGGUUUGAAAUUUACAUCUUAAGACAGUGUAGGAAGUUCCUGUUUGGAAGGUAGCACAAGUGCAUCCAUAGGGGUUUGAAGCAUCGUCAAGCCCAAGGAAAAAUUUUGUUUGUGCCCAAGAUUAAGUCAAUUGUCCAUGAAAGGAAAGAGAGAAA